rnacentral:rRNA from 1 species
CGGGGUGCAGCAGGCGCGAAAACUUUACAAUGCUGGCAACAGCGAUAAGGGGACCUUGAGUGCCAGGAUACAAUCCUGGCUGUCGUGAUGCCUAAAAAGCAUUAUAUAGCAAGGGCCGGGCAAGACCGGUGCCAGCCGCCGCGGUAACACCGGCGGCUCGAGUGGUAACCGCUAUUAUUGGGUCUAAAGGGUCUGUAGCCGGCUUGGUUAGUCUCUUGGGAAAUCCGGCAGCUUAACUGUCGGGCUUUCAGGAGAUACUGCCAGGCUCGAGACCGGGAGAGGUGAGAGGUACUUCAUGGGUAGGGGUGAAAUCUUGUAAUCCUUGAAGGACCACCAGUGGCGAAGGCGUCUCACCAGAACGGAUCUGACGGCAAGGGACGAAAGCUAGGGGCACGAACCGGAUUAGAUACCCGGGUAGUCCUAGCCGUAAACGAUACUCGCUAGGUGUCGGCCACGGUGCGACCGUGGUCGGUGCCGUAGGGAAGCCGUGAAGCGAGCCACCUGGGAAGUACGGCCGCAAGGCUGAAACUUAAAGGAAUUGGCGGGGGAGCACAAGGGCGAUUCGCGG